GAGUUUGAUCGUGGCUCAGAUUGAACGCUGGCGGCAUGCCUUACACAUGCAAGUCGAACGGUAACAGGUCUUCGGAUGCUGACGAGUGGCGAACGGGUGAGUAAUACAUCGGAACGUGCCCGAUCGUGGGGGGAUAACGAGGCGAAAGCUUUGCUAAUACCGCAUACGAUCUACGGAUGAAAGCGGGGGAUCUUCGGACCUCGCGCGGACGGAGCGGCCGAUGGCAGAUUAGGUAGUUGGUGGGAUAAAAGCUUACCAAGCCGACGAUCUGUAGCUGGUCUGAGGGGAUGAUCAGCCACACUGGGACUGAGACACGGCCCAGACUCCUACGGGAGGCAGCAGUGGGGAAUUUUGGACAAUGGGCGAAAGCCUGAUCCAGCCAUGCCGCGUGCAGGAUGAAGGCCUUCGGUUGUAAC
rnacentral:rRNA from 1 species